rnacentral:lncRNA from 13 species
AUGAAGGAAACGUUUGCAAAAGAGAAGCAGGAAUGCAGCUCCAGACCACGUGCAAGGAAACUGGGAUCUGCUCCGGGCUGUGUCAUCCCUAGCUGUGAAAACCUAGGUUUUGCCCCCAUUGCCCAUGCAAGUCUUAAACCUCUGGACUCAGGCAAGCUGCCCACCUCAGCCUUCCAAAAUGUUGGCAUCACAGGCAUGAGCCAUGACACUCGGCUGUGAAACCAGAUUUAAGGAUCUCACCCCAGAUAUUAUCUUAACAGAAACAAAACAGCUGAGGCAAAAAAGAGACGAUUCUCUCCGCCCAAAGUCGGUGCCCUCAUCCAAACUGUUUAACCGUGAUCACCAGCACCUUGGUGAGUUAGAGCCGGAAUGAAUAUCACACUACAGUUUGUUCAACACAUCUGUCAUAACUCAGGUGUCCAUUUCUGCUUCUCCUUGUUUUUAUGCUGGCAUUUUAGGGUGAAAUAGGAGGGUAUCAAUCCAGUCUCAGGUUGUCCAUCCAGCAGUCAUUCUCCAAAUCAAGUUCUUUUCAUCAUCAGUAGCUCCACGAACGGGCAAAAUAUCUUCCUCCUUGCUAGUCCUAGACCCUCGAGAGGUGGCAUCUCUGUUCUCGUGAGUACCCAAAAUGGGAAAAUGUGGGACAGUUCUCAUCUCUCUUUACUGCUCUGCUCCUUUGUUUAUCAUGUUAACUGCACAGAAGACUGCACAGAAAUAUUAGAUUUUACUGAUUGGUUGGAGGUGGCUGAUGAAAAUUAUAAUCUAGGGUGAGAAAAAAAGAUAUUUCUUCCUUUUUCUUUUGAGACAGGGUGUCUGUUGCCCAGGCUGCGGUGCAGUGGCAGUAUCUCAGCUCACAGCAGCCUCAAACUCCCAGGCUUAAGAGAUCCUCUUACCUCAGCUUCCUAAGUAGCUGGAACCAUAGGUGCACCACACCUGGUUAAUUUUUGUAUUUUUUGUAGAGACAAGGUUUUACCAUGUUGCCCAGGCUGCUCUCGAACUCCUGAGUUCAAGUGAUCCGCCCACCUCAGCCAGCCAAAGUGCCAAGAUUACAGGCAUGAGCCACCGGGACUGGCUGAAAGAGCUAUUUCUGUGUGAUUUUUCUGCAUAAUUUAAAAUAAAAACAUGUAAGAAACUGUCA